AGCCGGGAGGGCAGGCCGGCCGGCUGGAGAGAGCAGCGGGGCCGCAACGCGGGAGCGCCCACCUCCGCGGCCCGAAUCAGGACGCCAUGGACAGUGGAUGCCAGCGCUCUGAUCAUCUGCUACGUGUAGCAGCAACUUGUCUCCCUCCUGAACUCUUCCUUUUGGAGUCUCCCUCCCUUUCCUGCCUCGGAGAUCUACAGCAACCGCAGCAGAGCCCAGCUCUCUGCUAUGGCCUGAGAAAGCAGUAGAAGAUGGCCCAAGUGCUUGGGCCCCUGCACCUGCAUGGGAGACCUGGAGGAAGCUCCUGGCUCCUGGCUUCAGAUCGGCGCAGCUCCAGCUGUUGCAGCCAUCUGGGGAGUGAACCAUUGAACGGAAGACCUCUCUCUCUCUAUGCCUCUCCUCUCUGUGUAAC